GCAUAUCAAUAAGCGGAGGAAAAGAAACCAACAGGGAUUGCCUUAGUAACGGCGAGUGAAGCGGCAACAGCUCAAAUUUGAAAUCUGGCUUCGGCCCGAGUUGUAAUUUGUAGAGGAUGCUUCUGGCGACGUGCCUUCCGAGUCCCCUGGAACGGGGCGCCGAAGAGGGUGAGAGCCCCGUACGGUUGGACGCCGAGCCUCUGUGAAGCUCCUUCGACGAGUCGAGUAGUUUGGGAAUGCUGCUCUAAAUGGGAGGUAAAUUCCUUCUAAAGCUAAAUACCGGCCAGAGACCGAUAGCGCACAAGUAGAGUGAUCGAAAGAUGAAAAGCACUUUGGAAAGAGGGUUAAAAAGUACGUGAAAUUGCUGAAAGGGAAGCGCUUGCGACCAGACUCGCGCCUGGCGGAUCAUCCAGCGUUCUCGCUGGUGCACUUCGCCUGGCACGGGCCAGCAUCGGUUCGGCGGGGGGGAUAAAAGCCCGGGAAACGUAGCUCCCUCCGGGGAGUGUUAUAGUCCCUCGCCCAAUGCUCCCUGCCGGACCGUGGACCGCGCCUUCGUGCAAGGAUGCUGGCGUAAUGGUCGUUAGCGACCCGUCUUGAAACACGGACCAAGGAGUCGAACAUUUGUGCGAGUGUUUGGGUGCAAAACCCUCACGCGUAAUGAAAGUGAACGGAGGUGGGAGCCUCGGCGCACCAUCGACCGAUCCUGAUGUUCUCGGAUGGAUUUGAGUAAGAGCAUAACUGUUCGGACCCGAAAGAUGGUGAACUAUGCCUGUGUAGGGUGAAGCCAGAGGAAACUCUGGUGGAGGCUCGCAGCGGUUCUGACGUGCAAAUCGAUCGUCAAACAUGGGCAUGGGGGCGAAAGACUAAUCGAACCAUUUAGUAGCUGGUUUCGCG
rnacentral:rRNA from 1 species